AAGUCGUAACAAGGUUUCCGUAGGUGAACCUGCGGAAGGAUCAUUAUUGAAUGAACUUGGUAUGAUUGUUGCUGGUUCUUAUAGGACAUGUGCACGUCUGCCAUCUUUAUAUCUCCACCUGUGCACACAUUGUAGGUCUGGAAUAACUCUCUGAGGAAACUCAGUUGUUAGGAUUGCUUCUGCAAAGUAGCUUUUCUUGUGUUUCCAGAUCUAUGUUUUCAUAUACACCAUAAGAAUGUAACAGAAUGUAUUAAUGGGUCUUGUACCUAUAAACUAUAUACAACUUUCAGCAACGGAUCUCUUGGCUCUC
rnacentral:misc_RNA from 2 species